rnacentral:misc_RNA from 1 species
CCGAGUUUACAACUCCCAAACCCAAUGUGAACAUUACCUUGACGUUGCCUAUCGGCGGGACCGCCCCGGCGCCCCUCACCGGCACCGGAACCAGGCGCCCGCCGCAGGGACCCAAACCUCUGUUUUAUUAUGAAUUCUCCUCUGAGUGGAUUUUAUACAAAUAAAUCA